rnacentral:sRNA from 1 species
UAUUUGUCUCUAGGAUUUUCAGUAAAAGCUAAACCCCUUACAGAAUGAAUGCAUAAGGUAUGCAUGGAAGAAUGAUUGAUAGGGCAGCUAAAAUGUUAUUUACUGAACUGAUAGUAGUAUCAAACUUUGACUGAAAGGUAAAUUAGGUGUUCACAAUCUUUGACCUCAUCUCUAUCCUCCAGGUGCUAUGCUUACAUUUGAAAAGAUUUCAUUGGACAGCAUAUUUAAGAAAUAAAGUUGAUACAUACGUAGAAUUUCCACUGAGAGGCCUAGACAUGAAAUGCUACUUACUAGAGCCUGAGAACAGUGGCCCGGAGAGCUGCCUGUAUGACCUCGCCGCUGUGGUGGUGCACCAUGGUUCCGGGGUUGGUUCUGGACAUUACACAGCAUACGCAACUCACGAAGGCCGCUGGUUCCACUUCAAUGACAGUACUGUAACACUGACUGACGAGGAGACUGUGGUGAAGGCGAAGGCCUACAUCCUUUUCUACGUGGAACACCAGGCCAAAGCUGGAUCGGAUAAACUUUAAUACCUCCUCCAAAUCAUCAUUCACCAACCAUACCAGAGAAACAUUUCCAGUUUUCCACAAAUACUUGAUACAAGAUUUAAUUUCAUUAUGCACUUUUCAAUUUCCUAUUUUGGGUUUAGUUUUGUCAAUGGUAGUGACUUACUGAACAUGGGCACCAACUAAUUUUGUUGUUGUUCUACCAGAAAACCUCAGCAGAUGUUUUGAUUUGCUGCUUUAGUUGUAAUAAU